UCAUCUAGCAAUAGUUGAUGAAUAUAGAAGCUUGGGCACUUUAAUUAUCUAUCCUUUCUCUUUUCUAGCAUUUGGUGUAUAGUGAUGGCCCUUUUCUUUUCUUUUGUUUUUUUCUUCCCUCCUAGAAAUCUAGGAAAACGCAUUCCCUAUAUGGACACAAGUAAUUCCUAAGUACUACACACUCAAGAAAAUUCUCAAGAGACAAGAGGGAAAAGACAGGCACUGGAUCUUACGUCUCCUCUUCAGGACCCUGCAGUCAGGACAGCACGGGAUUCAGGACCUACUUGCUGCCUUGCAUAUCAUGGAUGUUCAGUCGAUGUUCAUCUGAGACAACAUCGUGCGGAAGAAGGAGACGGGCCAAUUACUCAGGAUAUUUUUUAAAAUGUUGUUUAUGGCAUAUUUAGUUUUCCACGAGAAGGCAGCUACUGAAUGCAAUCUGCUUCAGAAAGAGGUAGGUAUGUCGUAACCCAGGAAGAGCGGGUUUUGAUCACAAAAAUUGGCAUCUGUAAUAAAUCUAACCUUGUUCUGAGUGGUUAAGUUCCUUAGAAAACCCACUGACAUUUCAAAGAGUGCAUCGAUUAGAAAAUACUGACAAUUUUCAAAACACUAGCCUUGCAUGUUAAUGCCCCGGUGUCGUGAGAGUGAACAGUAAAGCACUGUUGGUGCACACUGGGCCCCUCUCAUGCACGAAGUAUGUCAACCUGACCAGCCUGUGGAGACUACAGCUCUCCUUGUUUCUCCGUCAUCCCCUUCCCCAGGGCCAGCAAUGGACCAUUAUCUCUCUGUCUGACAUCUGAGGCGAGAAUCUGAAUGCCAGGAAGGAAGUUUUCCAAAUCGAUGUAAAAACAAAAUCCUCUUAUUACAACAGGAUACAGUAAAGAAAACAAAAAAGGAAGCUCAUGAGAGGGAAAAGGUUUAAGUGUAAAUGAAAAAAUAUUCUGAGGAAAACGAGAUACCAUAGUCGUAGUUUCUUGUAUUUACUGGGGAAAAUCCAGCAUUGCUGGGGAGACUAGAGUAAGGCAGUGAGGCUGACACAUCUGUCGCCAGGAAAAUGGCUCCUCGUUGUCUGUGUCACAGAGCUUGAAACCGA